AGUGGCCCCGAAUGGCUUUUCUCUCCGUACCUCAGGUUUCUGAAGAGCAAAACUUUACGAAAGGUAGUGGUGCCCUCCACGUUUCUGAAGUACGUGCACAGUUGGGCGUGCUUUGGUUUGGACUUUUAAAUGCAGCAUGUAGUAACUUUUUGGCUAUUUUGUACGUGUGCCUUAUUUAAAAACCAAAAGCAAUCAGAGAUAAAGUAUCUGCAGUUCCCCAGGAAGACUUCCACAGCUCAGACACUUCAUUGGUUAUUCCUGCUGCUGGGAAUGUGGUGGCGCUGACCAUUUACAGUAUCGUUGCAGGGUAAGAUUGGCCUAGGAAUGAAUUGCUUCCAAUGUGUGCGGUCUUAUUAAUACAAACAGUAUCUUAAUGCAAACUCUUCAAACAGAUGGGAGCUAUUAUGCAGACUUUAAAAUUAAAUGGCUCUUCCCAAGACCACAUCUGAGCCAAUCUGAUGUCCUAGCUCUUCCCAAACUGCUGCUUUGCAGUAAGAGCGAGAGGAGUGUGGAGUGUGAGCACAUUUGUGCUCUAAAGGAAGCUGCUCUGAGUUCCCCCAUGUUUAGCCUGAGGAACACUUGUCUGAGUAAUUAAGUGCCCGCCAAGGAAAGACAGGGUUUAUGCUUGGGUGUUCGAAGAACUGAAGUCGGGAUUUGACACUCCCCCCCCAUGCUAAGACCUCAUGAGCAGAGAUGGCUCAAAUUUUAAGUCUCUAGAAAGUACACAGAUACACUAAUGAGUAGGAAAUACCUUCGGAGGUUAAAGUUAGGGACCGGAAUGGGGCACAAAGUGAAAUGUGAAUGAAAACCUGUGCUUGUUUAGAAAAAGUUGUUCUCCUAAACAUCUCUAGGGAAGUGUGCACUGUACUGGUUUAAGUUCUCUUUGUGUGUGUGUGUGUGUGUGUGUGUACUGAUACAUUUUGCUUUCUAAUUUUUGGUUCUACAGCCUUUCAGACGUUGUUCCUGGAGGCUGUUAGUGAAGGCUCUUGCUCUGCAUUUGUGUGCGUGUGUAUAUGUACAUAGCAUAAAUAAAUGGCCAAAAGAACACCCAUACAGAGAAUGUGAUGUGUUUUUGUUGGUAGGUUUUGCCUUUGGUGUCCAGCAGCUUCAUCCAGCUCUCAUACAGAGACCUUUCGGGGAUCGUUUACAGUUAAGAUAACUGAUCAGAAGGAUAUGAUGAUAAGAGGUGGAAUAGUUCUGUUUGGAAUUAAACUCUGUAACCAGUAGACUCAAACACAAACAAGCUAAAAUGGUGAUUAACGAUGCAUGUAUGUUUUUCUUCAUAUAGUCAAUAGACCUCGGUGUGCUUUUUUUUAUUUAUUACAGUAAUGAAGUGGUGUUGAUAGCUAAACUGUGUGCUUUUAUUUAUUUGAAAGAGCUGUAGUGAAAGUUUUUUGGGGGGGGUCUUUUUAAUUUUGGUUUUGUUGUUGAGGAGUGACUUUGCCAUGGGGAGCAAAGGGCCUUUUUUUUUUUCCUUGCUUUCAAGCUGUAGCCUGUGACUUUUUUUAACCAUAUUUUGUAGUGAGUGCUAAAUUGUGUGACUUCUUGAUUUUUAAGUAAAUCAACGUAUUGCUUGCAUGUUCAUAAUUUUUGGGGGGCUUUGUUCUCGGGAGGGGUGUGGAGCUCCCUAUUAACGAUGUGCGUCCAUUUGGGCUUCCUAAUUUGAAGAGUUUUUCCUUCAAUCCUUCUUUAAUAUCUAGCGCAUUUCUCCUGUACUUGAAUUUACUAUUCCUAAGUAGAUCUAACUCUUGCUUCCUAUAGGCAUAUAAUUAGGAGGUGAAGUCUGCAUUAAGUUUUCCAUAGAGUGUCACUUCACUAAUGCACACUGACUGAGAAACCCAUUGCAAAAUAGUGCAUUUUGCUAAGCUAACAAUAAAAUAGGGAAACUUUGUCACAAAUGUUUAUUUGUUUAGAUUAUCUUACCUAUCCGUUAUUAAGCACCAAUAGCUUAUCGAUAGUUUGAUCUGUCAAAAUGGUGGGAACCGGUGCCUAUCCUGAAAACCACAGGAAAAAGUUUUCUUAGAAAUUUCAUGUAAUUUUAAAGGAGAGCGUUGAUUCUUCUGAGAGUGGGGAGACUGUAACAAACUUUGUCUUUUUUUUUUCCUUCUCAUGAUUAUCCUCUACUAUAUUUUGCUCACUUCUUUGAAGUGUGAGGAGGUGACAAUGUGUAUGCCAUGAUCAGUUUAUGAUGCCUGUGCUAAGGUAGGCAGGAGGCAGAACGCCUUGUCUCCAGAGCAGUUAAAGUACUUGUUGCAAAGAGGAACAAAUGGAUUGCACAGGGAUCAGCUGUGAAGAGACUGAGUAUUUGCUGAGCACAACAGAAAAGGAGGACCUGUGGCAGUCCGUUGCUUAAAGGACUAUGCAAAUAUAGGGCUCUUUUCUUGCUUUACAUACCCAGAUCAUGUAAACCAUGUGUAGGCCAGGGAAAUCCUUCCAGCAGAAUGAAUAGGGUUUUAUUUCUAAUGCACUGGGCAUAAGUCUGGAGAAAUGUUGGUCAUAGGGUCAUGUAUAUAUGAAAUUGGUCAUUUUUGAUCCUUGGCUCUUGCCUUUCUUUUAUGAUGUGCAAACGACGGAGAUUACUAAUCCUGCUUCCGUCUCAGAAUUUCCAGUGACCUGGUACCUUUUCUAAAGUAUGUAGUUGAGAUUAAGAACAGCAUUCACUAGGAUGAAUGAACAUCUUCAUUCACAAUAUUCCAUGACAGUAAGAGGGGAUGUUUCAGUGCUUACUCGAAUCUACUUCUGUUAAGAGUUCACUCUUAGAGCUUUCUAUAUGGGUUGCACUGAAAUACAGCCUGAAGGCCUUUCUUUGCACAGUUUCACUUUUUAAGUACACUUUACUAAUACGCUGCGUAAAAUUGGUUGUAGUGGUGAUUCACUAUCAAUACUCUGCUAAUCCAUACACAAAAGCUUCAAAUGUUUCGUGGUUGUGUUUUGUUUUGUUGGCUCUUUUCCUAGCAGAGUGCAAAUUAGGAAGGUACUGCUGCAUUUUGGUAUGGUCAGCAGUGUUGUAGAAUCAUAGAAUCAUAGAAUGGCCUGGGUUGGAAGGGACUUUAAAGAUUGUUUAGUUCCAACCCCGUUGCUGUGGACAGGGACACCUUUCACUAGACCUUAUUGCUCCAUCUGGCUGGGCCUUGAAUACAUCCAGGGAUUGAGCAUCCACAGCAUAUGCUUUCCCAGCUAUCAAAUAAAAACCUGAAAAUAAUCGGAUUACGUUAUGUUGCUUUUACCUGAGAAAAUGCAGAAGUUCAAUAUUCUGACUUAAGUACAGCAUUAUUGUGGUGGAAGGAGACAGAAACUAGAUUAGGUUCAAUGCAUGACGCACUUUGAAAAGUCAGGGAACUUUUCUUUAUUCAGUGCUGAGGAGGUCAGUUCAUCCACCAAAUAACAUUUCUUCCUACUUUUUGCAUUCAGCAUCUGUCUUACUGUUGGUGUGUUUCAUAAAGCUGUUUGAUCACAGGACUGGUUAUUUAUAAAGCUUUGUUUUCAGGAUUGUUUGUUAAAGUAUUAUCUCUGAAUUCAACAGGAAUUUAUGGAGGGGGAAGAUGACUUUGCUUCCUAAGAUAGCUUUUCUUGGUUUGCUUAUGGAAUUUCUAUUUUCAUAUUGGUGGGAAAAUUUGGGGUUAUACAGAGGUAUUGGUGCAGGACAUAACUGUUGUAGAGAUUUUCUGUUCCUUUCCUUCCUGUCUAAAACUUGUGCUUUGAUCAAAAUGAAAACAUUCCCACUGUUUUCGGUGAGACCAGAGUUAAAUCCAAAAUUACUAAGUUAAUUAUCAAAUGGUUAGCUGAUACUACCUGUCUGAUAUUCCAAGAGUUAGGCAGUUCUACCUUUUAAAGAUAGAAGGAAAAGCCCCCUCUUGAGUUUGUGAUCAAACGACUUGUAUAAUACUAGACUUAGGAUAAUCUGAAAAGAGGGAAUGAAGCCAGAACAGUCAAAAGUUAGCCUGCUAUGUCCUCCUUAUGGUUAUCAGAGAAAAGGAAGCAUAGUAAGGGUCUUGUAUGUCUUAAUAUUUAGGUAACCUACUUUUGUUAAAAGGAAAGCUGUUCGUUGCUGAAAAUCUUCUCUUUAAUUAUGCCUUCAAAACCAGACAAUGCCAUACCAGGGCCAAAGCAAAACAUUUUGUUCAAAGUUAAAUAUAUACUUUCACAAGAAUGUAAUACUGUGAGUCAAAGAUGUGCUACUACUGCUGAAUUUCUAUAUUUCACAGCUCUCUGCAUUAGUCUAAAAAGUCUCUUCUUUCCUUUGAAACAAUUAGCAUUCACUUUAUUAUUGCUUAUAGAAUUAUUUUGGAGGUCUUAGUUAAACACAAAUCUUCUGUUAUAACAACAAUGAAGGUCUUAAGGCAUGUGGCAGGGGUAUAUGUCAUUGAAUUUUGAAUAAAUCAAAGCUACAGUUACUGCUAAAGUUAAGCACGUCUUCCCCUUUUUUUAAUUGCAAAAAUGUAAAACAGUAAAUAGACAUUCCAAAAUAAAAUCUACUGCUAGGAAAGAGAGCUUAAAUCAUGUGCAUUUCUCGCACUAGUACUCUCAAAAGUAAAGCAGCAGCUUUUUAUUUAAAAUUAAGGAUACUAAGGAUUUCCAGUGUAACUGGGAAUUGCUUUUUCAGCUUUUGACCUGGCAGAGCAUGAAAAGCAGUUGGGUUCUGAAUGGCUGAGAUCUUCAUGUCCUGGCCUCUGCAGUAGGUAGAAAUUUACUUUGGCCAUAUAAAGCCAUUUUACUCGACUCAAAACAGUUGUAGCAUGACAGAUGAUCAAAAAUAGCCCCACUGCAGCUUAUGCUGUCAGUCAUCAUGUGUGAAAUGGCAUGGUGGAGAGGAGCCUGCACAGGGUUUAUGUUUAUUGUAGAGUAAGAUGUGGCAAACAGAUAAUGUUUCAUAACUUCACCACCUGUUAGUUUCUUGGCUUAAAUAAAACAAGUCACAAGAGUUUAAGUGGAAGCACAUGUAUCUUUCUGUCUUGUUCACGGAGGUGGCAGUGUCCUAAUGUCUUCAGAAAAUCUUAGUAAUGUCAUUUCAAGUCAACACAAACAGUCUGAUAAGCUUGAUUACUGUCUCUUCUGUUAGAAUUACUCUCUUUCAUAAGUACUGUAUGUAAAGAUUCCUUCGAUGUGCUGCAGAAGAAGUUCUUGGUGACUUCAAAUUUGGUUUUAUAUCUCUUUCCUUAAUACUUAAAAAACGUGGUGUUAUUUUUAUUAGGAUUGUACUUGGUGACCAAUACAAAAUGCUUGUGUAUGCUCAUCCAUUUUCUAUGGAGAGCUCAGGUAAUGAUGUAUAUUUAAAUGCACAGAGCCAGCUUAAGUAUGCUUCAAAUGCACUUCUGGCUAAUCACUUCAUAAAUUAGGUGAGUGUUAAAAACCCAACUUAUGGUUUUGUUUUACGUUUUCUUUCCCUUCCCAAUCCCUCCCUAUUUAUCACUCUUUUUUUUUUAAUUAUUUUUCCUUUUUCCACGCAGUAGAAAAAUAAUUUCAUUGACAUGUUGGGUUUUUAUGAUUGUGGUGUUCGUGUCUUAAACACGACAGCUGAACAUUUCUAUCUGUUAAUAUUCCUUAUACAAUCAACUGAGCUCUUUUUUUCUUAAAAAGAAAACUAAGCUGUUCUAAAGCUUAUCACUUAUUUUAAACUAUGUUUUGCUAUGAUUCCAGUUGACAGUGUCCCUUCUGAUUGAAAUGUUUCCUUGUUGACCAUUUAAGUACGUCUUAAAGUUAUUUUAAAAAUGAAACAAAAAAAAAACCCUCAAUAAACCCUUUCAAUUAGAUCUGGAAUUUGGAGAAAAGAGGACAGUUUUUAGCAUCAUGAUUUGCAUCUGUGUUUAAAGUAUUCUAAAAGGUUGGUGCAGUGUUUAGAGUUGUCUCUAAAGGUAAAGUUCAGUAUGAAAUAGUAAAUUUGCACAAGUGGUUUUUCAUGGAUUUAUAAAGAUUCAUUGGCUGGAAAGGAGAUACAUAUAUGUAGGACUUCUCCGGAAAUCCAGAUGCAAGACAGAGUUAUGAAUGUAAAAUGAGAUUUAUAUUGAGUAUAUAUAUAUAUUUAAAUCAUAUUAUAUGAUAAAAUUCAGCUAUGAGAUUAACUUGUAUGUAGAUUUGUGUGCUAAGACAAUGAUAUGACCAAUUUUCAAAACUGAAGGUCUAAAUAAAUAAGACAAGGAAGCAAGUUUUUCAAAGGAGAUGGGAAAUUGUGUAUUGAUCUGUUCAGAAUGGCUAUUUCUUAAGCUGUAAAUUUGUGGGGUUUUUGCUUUUGUUAAGCACCAGAUCUAUUUAGACUUAAUCUUAUGCCCACCUCCCAAAAAACUCUAUGCUGUAUGUCUUGCAUAGAAAUAAACAAGCUGGCACAAAACAGGACAUCAGUGACCUGAUAAUCAAACAGGUUUGACCCUUGUGUCCUUACAAAUUUUUAUAAAAGUGUGAUGCACAUGUACUUAGGAGUCACUGUUAUGGAUUUUAAUAGCAUCUAUGUAGCUUCCCUUCAAUGGUAGCUUCCCUCUUGUGACGGAGUGAGCUGCACUAUCGUUCGUUUGGAAAGUGUGAUUCUUGCUGUGUUUACCACACUUGUGAACUCUAUUUAAACUCCUUUGUCGCCUGUGUUGGUUUUUUUUUCUUAUUUUUAAUAAGGGUGACUGAGGUUGCAGAGAAAUUAAUGUGUGCUGAGUCUGCAUAGCAACUUAAGUAGGGUUGCCACAAUACACUCUCCUGCUCCCUGGAAAGUCUUUACAUGAAGUCAGGGUUCAACCAUUUUGUUGCCCUAUUGGCUAUUGUCAAAUUCAUUAUAGUGAUACUGUCAAACUGCUCAGUUACUACUAAUAAAAACAUUGCAGGAAAUAAUUUUACUAAGAGUCAAGUAGUUAAGAGAGAAGCAGGGUAAUAAAGAUGACUUACAGGUGAUUUGAAAAAUCAGUACUGCAAUUUUCCAGAUGAAAUAAUGAAGCUUAGUUCUUCAGAGUUGUCCUAAAACUGACAUCAGUAAUGCUGGCUCUUCUGAAGACUUUCAUGGCGUUAAAGACACUAUCCUGAAGCAACAUUGAACACUCUGAUUCAACUCAGCUAUAACGCUGUGCUUUGGAGCGAUGCAUCUCUUGGGGCCAGUGACCUGACAGUUGGCCCAUUGAGUCUAGUUAUUGUGGCAACCCUAUGCACAUAACAACAACUAAAUUGAGUUUGUUUUAGUUCGGAGUAUGGAUAUGACGCUUAGGCGCUGACUCGCGUACCAACUUCAACUCCCUCUCCCAUCUUU